CCUCAGUAACGGCGAGUGAAGCGGCAAGAGCUCAAAUUUGAAAUCUGGCCCCUCCGGGGUCCGAGUUGUAAUUUGCAGAGGAUGCUUCGGGUGCGGCCCCUGUCUAAGUGCCCUGGAACGGGCCGUCAGAGAGGGUGAGAAUCCCGUCUUGGGCAGGGUGCCCGUGCCCGUGUGAAGCUCCUUCGACGAGUCGAGUUGUUUGGGAAUGCAGCUCAAAAUGGGUGGUAAAUUUCAUCUAAAGCUAAAUACCGGCCGGAGACCGAUAGCGCACAAGUAGAGUGAUCGAAAGAUGAAAAGCACUUUGAAAAGAGAGUUAAACAGCACGUGAAAUUGUUGAAAGGGAAGCGCUUGCAACCAGACUCGGCCUCGGGGUUCAGCCAGCAUUCGUGCUGGUGUACUUCCCCGGGGCCGGGCCAGCGUCGGUUUGGGCGGCCGGUCAAAGGCCCCAGGAAUGUAUCGUCCUCCGGGACGUCUUAUAGCCUGGGGUGCAAUGCGGCCAGCCUGGACCGAGGAACGCGCUUCGGCACGGACGCUGGCGUAAUGGUCGCAAACGACCCGUCUUGAAACACGGACCAAGGAGUCUAACAUCUACGCGAGUGUUCGGGUGUCAAACCCGUACGCGCAGUGAAAGCGAACGGAGGUGGGAGCCCCCCCGGGGCGCACCAUCGACCGAUCCUGAUGUCUUCGGAUGGAUUUGAGUACGAGCGUAGCUGUGGGGACCCGAAAGAUGGUGAACUAUGCCUGAAUAGGGUGAAGCCAGAGGAAACUCUGGUGGAGAAUGGCAGCGGUUCUGACGUGCAAAUCGAUCGUCAAAUUUGGGUAUAGGGGCGAAAGACU
rnacentral:rRNA from 1 species